UACGUAGGGUGCAAGCGUUAAUCGGAAUUAUUGGGCGUAAAGAGCUCGUAGGCGGUUUGUCGCGUCUGCUGUGAAAACCCGAGGCUCAACCUCGGGCCUGCAGUGGGUACGGGCAGACUAGAGUCCGGAAGAGGUGAGUGGAAUUCCUGGUGUAGCGGUGAAAUGCGCAGAUAUCAGGAGGAACACCGAUGGCGAAGGCAGCUCACUGGGGACGGUA
rnacentral:rRNA from 1 species